rnacentral:rRNA from 1 species
UGCGAAUGGCUCAUUAAAUCAGUUAUCGUUUAUUUGAUAGUACCUUACUACUUGGAUAACCGUGGUAAUUCUAGAGCUAAUACAUGCUAAAAACCCCGACUUCGGGAGGGGUGUAUUUAUUAGAUAAAAAACCAACGCCCUUCGGGGCUUCUUGGUGAUUCAUGAUAACUUAACGAAUCGCAUGGCCUUGCGCCGGCGAUGGUUCAUUCAAAUUUCUGCCCUAUCAACUUUCGAUGGUAGGAUAGUGGCCUACCAUGGUAUCAACGGGUAACGGGGAAUUAGGGUUCUAUUCCGGAGAGGGAGCCUGAGAAACGGCUACCACAUCCAAGGAAGGCAGCAGGCGCGCAAAUUACCCAAUCCCGACACGGGGAGGUAGUGACAAUAAAUACUGAUACAGGGCUCUUUUGGGUCUUGUAAUUGGAAUGAGUACAAUUUAAAUCCCUUAACGAGGAACAAUUGGAGGGCAAGUCUGGUGCCAGCAGCCGCGGUAAUUCCAGCUCCAAUAGCGUAUAUUAAAGUUGUUGCAGUUAAAAAGCUCGUAGUUGAACCUUGGGCCUGGCUGGCCGGUCCGCCUCACCGCGUGCACUGGUCCGGCCGGGCCUUUCCUUCUGGGGAGCCGCAUGCCCUUCACUGGGUGUGUCGGGGAACCAGGACUUUUACUUUGAAAAAAUUAGAGUGUUCAAAGCAGGCCUUUGCUCGGAUACAUUAGCAUGGAAUAAUAGAAUAGGACGUGCGGUCCUAUUUUGUUGGUUUCUAGGACCGCCGUAAUGAUUAAUAGGGAUAGUCGGGGGCAUCAGUAUUCAAUUGUCAGAGGUGAAAUUCUUGGAUUUAUUGAAGACUAACUACUGCGAAAGCAUUUGCCAAGGAUGUUUUCAUUAAUCAGUGAACGAAAGUUAGGGGAUCGAAGACGAUCAGAUACCGUCGUAGUCUUAACCGUAAACUAUGCCGACUAGGGAUCGGGCGAUGUUAUCAUUUUGACUCGCUCGGCACCUUACGAGAAAUC